rfam:Ovis aries breed Texel chromosome 15, whole genome shotgun sequence.
UCCCUGGUGGUCCAGUGGUUAAGACUCUGUACUCCCAAUGUAGGGGACACAGGUUUGAUCCCUGGCCAGGGAA